GACAGAGGAUGCAAGCGUUAUCCGGAAUGAUUGGGCGUAAAGCGUCUGUAGGUGGCUUUUAAGUCCGCCGUCAAAUCCCAGGGCUCAACCCUGGACAGGCGGUGGAAACUACCAAGCUGGAGUACGGUAGGGCAGAGGGAAUUUCCGGUGGAGCGGUGAAAUGCGUAGAGAUCGGAAAGAACACCAACGGCGAAAGCACUCUGCUGGCCGACACUGACACUGAGAGACGAAAGCUAGGGAGCGAAUGGGAUUAGAACCUACCGUGUC
rnacentral:rRNA from 1 species